GUGCUGACUUUGGCAGCACAUAUACUAACAUUGAAACAACAGAGAGAAGAUUAGCAUGGACCCUGCACAAAGAUGACAUGCAAAUUCGUGAAGUGUUCCACAUUUUU